GACAAGGUGCUGACGUCUUCUCCAUUGAACGUCUUCAGGAUGGUCGUCUUACCCGCGUUGUCCAGACCUCUGCACGAGCCAGGUUAAAGAAGGAACGCACACUUUUAAAUAUCCUAGUUAAUUAAAUUAAGACGUUAGUGGCUCUCAGAACCCCAGGUUUAGUGAACCAACAAGGCUUCUCUGUUCUGUUCGAGAUGGAGACGAAACAUCCAGAAACUGCUUGCUGCCAAGGUGUGAGGAGACUGUGGCUGAACUCUACAUGAGAUGUUCACGGCCGAUCACAGUUGAGGAUCAAGAAUGAAGGACGUCUGCAGGUUCUGCACGGUCGACUCACUAACCUCUGCAAAGUGCACAAUGGUGUGUCUGUUACCAGAUGCUUGAAGAAGGAUGUCACCUACAAGUCAUCAUGUAAGUCUGAGUGUUUGUUUCAAGUUGGAUGAAAUGCCUCCUGCAGAGAAUCUGAAGUGUUAGUUUUGUAACACUGUAUUGAUUACAGCAUGUUAAGUUGUUUGAGAGGAUGUACAUAGGGUACAUGUCGUCAUAAUGCAGUUUCAAUGAUGAUGAACUUAGCUCACUUUGAACCAAUGUGAAACGACACGAACUUCUGAGCAACUGCAUUAUUUUAGAUUUCAGUGCCGGUUUACCUUCUGGAUUGUAUUUAACUUAUGAUGCAGCAACGAUCCUAUUCUAAACUUUUAAUUUUCAUCUCUUGCAACAGAUGAUUCAUUCACUACUUCAACACGAUUGUGGUCUAGUUGAAGGUAAGAUAUAAACAUUUAGAGGAUUGGUACCUGUAGCCUUUAUUCCCAGACCUGCUGAAAAUGAUGAGAUAUAUAUGGAAUCUCGUUCGUCUGAACUAAUGUUGAGAAAUAUCAUAUCUGACAUCAGCGAAGGUCAUUUUAAGUUGUAAUGAUGUAAUACGAGUAACAAUCCUAUUCUAAACUUGUUGCACAUCUGUAUCAGUCGCGUGAUCUGUUCAUUCAGAUUUGUUUGAAAGUCAAUGUAGACUUGAACAUUGUGCUGUUUCCUUUGCAUGUGCAGUAAAUUUGUUCUCUUGCCAACAGAUGAUUCAUUCACUACUUCAACACGAUGGUGGUGAAGUUGAGGGUAAGAUAUAAACAUUUAGAGGGUUGGUACCUGUAGCCUUGAUUCCCAAACCUGCUGAAAGUGAUGAUAAAUUUGGAAUGUGGUUCGUCUGAACUAAAAUUGAGAAUAUCUGACAUCAGCGAAGGUAAACAGUGAGUAGUGUUUGUUUGUGUCCUCAGAUCUGACUGUAGUCUGUUGCAGGUGUCUGGCUUUGGAAGAUGCUGACAUCUUCUCCACAGCAAAGGUGUUCAUCCAGCCAGUAGGACGAGCUGCCUGAAAAGCUGUGGAUGAAAAUGGACACGAAGUCAACCUCUAUGCUGAACGGAGUAUGACGUCAUCUGGAUUGCCCAGACUUGUUUGGUGUCGACCUCUUCGGUGUGGUGAACAGCGGACCGUUGCAGGUCAUGCAGUGUGAAGUUAUCACAUGGUCUCGAUCGUGUGCUCCCUGUCCGCUCAUGUUGGUUUGGUGAUGCUGUCCAACUCUUCAGUUUGGGGAACAGCAGAGAUGCUUUAAACUGCUGCAGACUAGGAUCUUUUGUCUUGUGUUGGUGCACAUUUUGAUGUCUUGUGUUUGUGAUCUUGUCAGUCCUGCUGGGUCUGCUGCUGACUGCUUCUGGAGUUUAUGACUCCGGCCAGACCGUGGACUCAUCAGUCGUCUCAUGCUGCAGGAAGUUUCCCAAAAGCUCCAGGAAUACUUCAGAAGACAUGUUUACAUAUUCAUAAGUACCAAUGAUAACCUGUAGUUUGAACAGGACAGUUGUGUGCCUUGAAUGAUGCAUUAUUUGGUCCAUGGACCGUUUAAUGCGUUCACUUGAAUGUGCAUUUCCAGUUAACUGGAAAAUAUUUUCAAAUAAAUUUGUCAAACUCAUAAAAGUGUGUUUUUUUUUUUUGUUUUGUUUUUUUUGUUUUUUUUCCCCCGUUUUUUAUUCUCCAUAUAGCAUAUUUUAUAUCCCAGGAUGCAAGAGACUGCAGUGUAAAUCUGAAACUGCUACAAAUGGCCAUCAGGUUUUCUGUCACUUACUUUAUUCACAUCAGUAUAAUUGAGUUUUAAGUGAUGUAGUUGAACAGUCAUGUGCUGAGGUAUAUUAAACCUGUACUUCUCAUGUGGCCUUGAUAGGAUUUGUGUUGGAUUGCGGCAGCAUAGCAUACGGAUCAGCAGCCAAAUCUCUAAUUGGUAAAUUGGAUGUGGUUCAGGCACAGGCAUUAAGAGUAUGUAGUGGAGCAUUUAAAACAUCGGCAAUACCUGUCCUGCAGGUAGAAAUGGGAGAAAUGCUGCUGGAUUUAAGGAGAAAGCAACUAAUUUCGAACUACUGACCUAAUUUACAGGGACACGAUGAGCUCACUCUACCUGUCAGCCCCUCCCUUCUCAUCAGUCUAACUCCCUUCACCUGUUCACUCGCCUGCGUCUGAUCACUAAUCAAGCCACUAUAUAGACUCCUGCCUCUCAAACACUCAAUACCAGAUUGUUCUUUGAUACUCGAUGCCAGACCUUCCAGCGCCUUAUCCCGGGCUGAUUUCCUGUUGACCCUUCCUGCCCCUGAUGUGCCUGGCUCGCCUGACUCGCCAGCCUUUUGUUGCUGACUUGGAAUCAUUCUGCCUGCUCUUUCUGCUGCUCUGCCAGAGACUUUGCUGUAACAGUCUGUACCUGGUGAGUUUACAUUAAAAGCCAACGAUUCCUGGAAUCCUGUGUGCUGCAACCGGUUACAGUUGCAGGUGGAAUGAGAGGAGUCGGAGACAAAACUUUGGUCUGUCUAAGCCCUUCAGUAGUUUACCCAGUGAUGGCUCCAUG